rnacentral:rRNA from 1 species
GAUGAACGCUGGCGGCGUGCUUAACACAUGCAAGUCGAACGAAGCACUUUAUUUGAUUUCCUUCGGGACUGAUUAUUUUGUGGCUGAGUGGCGGACGUGUGAGUAACGCGUGGGUAACCUGCCUUGUACAGGGGGAUAACAGUUGGAAACGGCUGCUAAUACUGCAUAAGCGCACAGCAUCGCAUGAUGCAGUGUGAAAAACUCCGGUGGUAUAAGAUGGACCCGCGUUGGAUUAGCUAGUUGGUGAGGUAACGGCCCACCAAGGCGACGAUCCAUAGCCGAGCUGGGAGGGUGACCGGCCACAUUGGGACUGAGACACGGACCAAUCUCCUACGGGAGGCAGCAGUGGGGAAUAUUACACACUGGGCGAAGGCCUGGUGAAGCGACGCCGCGUGAGCGAAGAAGUAUUUCGGUAUGUAAAGCUGUAUCAGCAGGGAAGAUAAUGACGGUACCUGACUAAGAAGCACCGGCUAAAUACGUG